GACGAACCGUGCGAACGUUAUUCGGAAUCACUGGGCUUAAAGCGCGUGUAGGCGGGACGGCACGUCGGUCGCUGAAAUCCCCCGGCUUAACCGGGGAACGGGCGUCGAUACGACCGUCCUGGAGGGGCGUAGGGGGACCUGGAACUUCCGGUGGAGCGGUGAAAUGCGUUGAGAUCGGAAGGAACGCCCGUGGCGAAAGCGAGGUCCUGGACGCCAUCUGACGCUGAGACGCGAAAGCCAGGGGAGCGAACGGG
rnacentral:rRNA from 1 species